rnacentral:rRNA from 1 species
CGAGCGGAUGAAGAGAGCUUGCUCUCUGAUUCAGCGGCGGACGGGUGAGUAAUGCCUAGGAAUCUGCCUGGUAGUGGGGGACAACGUCUCGAAAGGGACGCUAAUACCGCAUACGUCCUACGGGAGAAAGCAGGGGACCUUCGGGCCUUGCGCUAUCAGAUGAGCCUAGGUCGGAUUAGCUAGUUGGUGAGGUAAUGGCUCACCAAGGCGACGAUCCGUAACUGGUCUGAGAGGAUGAUCAGUCACACUGGAACUGAGACACGGUCCAGACUCCUACGGGAGGCAGCAGUGGGGAAUAUUGGACAAUGGGCGAAAGCCUGAUCCAGCCAUGCCGCGUGUGUGAAGAAGGUCUUCGGAUUGUAAAGCACUUUAAGUUGGGAGGAAGGGCUGUARAUUAAUACUCUGCUGUUUUGACGUUACCGACAGAAUAAGCACCGGCUAACUCUGUGCCAGCAGCCGCGGUAAUACAGA